UAAAGGGCUGCAGUAUAUUGACUGUACAAAGGUAGCAUAAUCAUUAGUCUUUUAAUUGAAGACUUGUAUGAAAGAUUUGAUGAAAUAUAAACUGUCUCUAAUUUAUAUAUAGAAAUUAAUUUUUUAGUUAAAAAGCUAAAAUAAAGUUAAAAGACGAGAAGACCCUAUAGAGUUUUAUAUUUUACUUGUUUAAUGUUAAAUAUAUAAUUAAAUUAUAUAAAAAAAUUAAAAUAUUGUGUUGGGGUGAUAGAAAAAUUUAAUAAACUUUUUUUUUGUGGUUAAACAUAAAUAAGUGAUUAAUUGAUCCAUUUUUAGUGAUUAAAAGAAAAAAUUACCUUAGGGAUAACAGCGUAAUAUUUUUUUUUAGUACAAAUAAAAAAAAAAGUUUGCGACCUCGAUGUUGGAUUAAGAUAAAAUUUAAAUGCAAAAGUUUAAAAUUUUGAUCUUUUCGAUCAUUAAAAUCUUACAUGAUCUGAGCUC
rnacentral:rRNA from 1 species